rnacentral:lncRNA from 1 species
UCAUAAUAAAAGAAGAUGAAAUUUAAUGUCAAUAGCAGUAAGAGUGUAGAAGGUAAUUCUAUUUCAUUUUCUUUUCAGACAAAACAGAAACAGGACGUGUUGGUACAAGCAAAUGAAAAAAUCCAGCUUGCCAGCAGUGGAUUGGCCCGGAGCAGUGAGCCGUCACGUGAUCGACUCCCAGCCGCUGUGAAGCACCCACGUGUGAGUUUUCCAUGACGCACCUUCUGCCGUCACACUGGCUCUCAAGUAAAUCAAUGGUCAAAUCUUUUCCAAAAGUGGUUUUGACAAAGAACAGCUUAAAUCGCCCAAGAUGUUGACAAAUGGGCUGUUAUCUAGGAGAGCGAGUAAAGCAACCCAUUUGAACGACAAGAGCAGAUAAG